AAUCACUCUCGGCCUUUUGGCUAAGAUCAGGUGUAACAUCUGUUCUUAUCAGUUUAAAUUACACAUUUAAGCAUUUUUACCUUCAGAGUAUGAGUCUCAGCAUCAUUUAUCUGAGUGACUAAGUAAAUUCUUGAGUUAAUAUUCACAGAUUUAUCUAUCUUGUACAAAUAUACAUAAUUCCCUUAU